UACAGAGGGUGCAAGCGUUGUUCGGAUUCAUUGGGCGUAAAGGGUGCGUAGGUGGGCUGGUAAGUCAGUGGUGAAAUCUCCAGGCUUAACUUGGAAACUGCCAUUGAUACUAUUAGUCUUGAAUACCGUGGAGGUCAGCGGAAUAUGUCAUGUAGCGGUGAAAUGCUUAGAUAUGACAUAGAACACCAAUUGCGAAGGCAGCUGGCUACACGAAAUAUUGACACUGAUGCACGAAAGCGUGGGGAUCAAACAGG
rnacentral:rRNA from 1 species